GACGAACGCUGGCGGCGUGCUUAACACAUGCAAGUCGAACGGAAAGGCCCUGCUUUUGUGGGGUGCUCGAGUGGCGAACGGGUGAGUAACACGUGAGUAACCUGCCCUUGACUUUGGGAUAACUUCAGGAGACUGGGGCUAAUACCGGAUAGGAGCUCCUGCUGCAUGGUGGGGGUUGGAACGUUUCGGCGGUUGGGGAUGGACUCGCGGCUUAUCAGCUUGUUGGUGGGGUAGUGGCUUACCAAGGCUUUGACGGGUAGCCGGCCUGAGAGGGGGACCGGCCACAUUGGGACUGAGAUACGGCCCAGACUCCUACGGGAGGCAGCAGUGGGGAAUAAUGCACAAUGGGCGGAAGCCUGAUGCAGCAACGCCGCGUGCGGGAUGACGGCCUUCGGGUUGUAAACCGCUUUCGCCUGUGACGAAGCGUGAGUGACGGUAAUGGGUAAAGAAGCACCGGCUAACUACGUG
rnacentral:rRNA from 1 species